rnacentral:rRNA from 1 species
CUCAGCCACCCUUUAAAGAAAGCGUAAUAGCUCACUGAUCGAGUCGUCCUGCGCGGAAGAUGUAUCGGGGCUCAAGCCAAUAACCGAAGCUGCGGGUGUGCAUAGCAAUAUGCACGCGGUAGGAGAGCGUUCCGUACGCCUGUGAAGGUGGCCUGUGAGGGCUGCUGGAGGUAUCGGAAGUGCGAAUGCUGACAUGAGUAGCGUUAAAGCGGGUGAAAGGCCCGCUCGCCGUAAGCCCAAGGUUUCCUGCGCAACGUUCAUCGGCGCAGGGUGAGUCGGCCCCUAAGGCGAGGCAGAAAUGCGUAGUCGAUGGGAAACAGGUCAAUAUUCCUGUACCGGCUUUGGAUGCGAUGUGGGGACGGAGAAGGUUAGGUGCGCCGGGUGUUGGAUGUCCCGGUUUAAGCGUGUAGGGAGAUCUCUUAGGCAAAUCCGGGAGGUCAAUCCUGAGGCGUGAUGACGAGUGGAGCUUGCUCCGCGAAGGUACUGAUACCAUGCUUCCAAGAAAAGCCACUAAGCUUCAGUCCAAAGACGACCGUACCGCAAACCGACACUGGUGGGCGAGAUGAAAAUUCUCAGGCGCUUGAGAGAACUCGGUUGAAGGAACUCGGCAAAUUGACACCGUAACUUCGGAAGAAGGUGUGCCGCUAGUAGGUGAAGGUGUACAACUGGAGCCCAACGCGGUUGCAAAAAAUAGGUGGCUGCGACUGUUUAUUAAAAACACAGCACUCUGCAAACACGAAAGUGGACGUAUAGGGUGUGACGCCUGCCCGGUGCCGGAAGGUUAAAUGAUGGGGUGCAAGCUCUUGAUUGAAGCCCCGGUAAACGGCGGCCGUAACUAUAACGGUCCUAAGGUAGCGAAAUUCCUUGUCGGGUAAGUUCCGACCUGCACGAAUGGCGUAACGAUGGCCACACUGUCUCCAACCGAGACUCAGCGAAGUUGAAAUGUUUGUGAUGAUGCAAUCUACCCGCGGCUAGACGGAAAGACCCCGUGCACCUUUACUGUAGCUUUGCAUGGGACUGUGAACCGAUCUGUGUAGGAUAGCUGGGAGGCUUUGAAGCAGGGGCGCUAGCUCUUGUGGAGCCAACCUUGAAAUACCAGCCUGGUUUGUUUGCGGUUCUAACCUACGCUCGUGAAUCCGGGCGGGGGACAGUGCAUGGUAGGCAGUUUGACUGGGGCGGUCUCCUCCCAAAGAGUAACGGAGGAGCUCGAAGGUACGCUAGGCACGGUCGGAAAUCGUGCUAAUAGUGCAAUGGCAUAAGCGUGCUUAACUGCGAGACC